UUGCCAAUGUAACGCUUCAAAGUUAUUUACCGAAAAAAGAAAAAAAAGAAAAAUGAAACGCUGCAAAGUUCAAAAGCUCCUGUGUACGAGGCCCGCAUCGAAACCGCCUUUGAUGCUAUUUAAAAGCGUUCAUUCUCUCUCUCUCUCAACAUUCUCGUCCCAAAAGAAAACGUUAUCGUUUUCGAAUCAUAGAAUAGGUUCUCUCCGUGCCCUAGACGCACACUCACAUCGCUAUCGUCUAUCGCUAUGGUACUCGUCGAUGAUAACACGGUGUCAAGAUUGCUCUGAUCCUUACAGACGAGACGAAAGAGUUUGUUCAGAAAAAGUCGGAACUGACGCAAUCGGUUUUUCAGAAAUACAAUACGAGGUAGAGAGUGCUGAAGGGGGCCUACAUGGUGGGUAACAUGGCAAGAGGUACUUCGUCAAAAUAUGAAUGGAGGUCUACGAUUUUAUUUUCAACAUCCACUGAUUUUGCAAAAACUUCUGGACUUGCUCAGUAAACUAGUUUACAGGCAAGCAGCCUUUUGUUUUGGUUGUGUAGUUAUUUUGAUCUUUGUCUUCACCCUUUAUGAACUUUUCUGACAUUUUUUACUGGGACGUGGAGGUGUUAUAUGGCUGCUGUUACCCUUAGUACCUGAAAAUUUACUGCCUCGAUUAAACUUUUGUAUAAUGCGUGGACCAUGUUUAAUCUACUAAAAAUUUUCUGGAUGGUAAAUACAUGUAUUUUAUAAAUUUUCCUGAUAUUUGUAAUAGGUAAGUUUUACGUUCUUACUCAAAAAAAAAAAAACACACACACACACACACACAAACUACUCUGGGAUUGGGCCUUGCGAAUACCAAUAUUUUUAGGGGAAUUUGGUCCAAUAUUUUUUUUUUGAAGGGCUCUAACGCAAUCUACCUUUUCUUUUUUAAGUUUUUUUUUAUUUAUCCCUUAUUUUCUAUUUUACCCCCAAUAAAGUAAAAAUUACUUCAUUUUCCUUUUUUCAUUCCUUCAUUUCGAGAUACCUUCUGCAAAAACCCAACAAUAUUAGAGCCAGGUUUCUCUUAUGCAAAAACCCAACAAUAUUAGCAAAAGUCAAAAUUGCUAGAAGAAAUGAAUAUACAAUGCUUAGCAUCAAGUUUUCAAAUUUUUCGGCCAUAAUAUUCAAAAACUCGGUUUGUCCCACAUUAUUACUCUCAAUUCUACCUAGGCCAAAAAUAUCAAAACGAAGCAAAACCCAAUAAAUCCGAAAAAAGGGAAAAAGAACAUGCUUGGAACCAAAUUUUGAGACAGAAAGCGAUGCAGGAGUGUACGGCUGCGUGAAGCAGGUGAGCGGUAGUUAUGCAAAGGAGCUUCACUUGGAAAGUUUGCAGCAUCAAAUAGAAAGUGAUCUUAUGCCAAGUGCCCGAUGUGACCAAAGUGAUUCUUAUGUUGUGGGUUAUUUUUAUUUUUAUUUUUUGUCUAGAAGUAAUAAUUGCUGCCCCCACACCUUUUCUGUGAAUUUCAUGUAACAAUUGGUGUAUUACUAGAGUGGAUAUCAUGAUGGUCUCAUAGCAAGAGAAGAAGCUGUAGCACAAGAGGGAUUUAAUAUGGGCUUUAAGGAAUCAGUCCUUGUUGGGUACAAAUGGGGUCUAGUUAGAGGUGAUACCAAUUCCUGAGGACUAGAAAGAGAGCACUUAAAUUCUCAAUAUGUGGCAAGGGAUUGGAAUGAGCUAGGGGUGAGAAACUGUGGAAAUGAGACAAAACUCCUAAGUGGAUCAGUUAUCGAGGUGGAUUGCCCAAGGCAUUAUAUGUGGUGAAAGAUGUAUUAACUGGAAUGAGAAAACAUGUUCAUCUGCUAGACAUAACAACUUUAUCACAACUCAGAAAAGAUGCACAUCCUGGCUUUUAUAAUGGCUUUAGGCGCAUGGACUGUAACCAUUGGUGUAUUGCUGGACUUCUAGAUACUUGGAAUCAACUUUUUAUGCGUUCCUCAUAAUUGUCAUGCUUGUUCUGGUAUUUGUAGUUUAUAAAAAUGAUCAUACGAUUACUUA